GUGCUAAUCUGCGAUAAGCGCCGGUAAGGUGAUAUGAACCGUUAUAACCGGCGAUUUCCGAAUGGGGAAACCCAGUGUGAUUCGUCACACUAUCAUUAACUGAAUCCAUAGGUUAAUGAGGCGAACCGGGGGAACUGAAACAUCUAAGUACCCCGAGGAAAAGAAAUCAACCGAGAUUCCCCCAGUAGCGGCGAGCGAACGGGGAGGAGCCCAGAGCCUGAAUCAGCAUGUGUGUUAGUGGAAGCGUCUGGAAAGGCGCGCGAUACAGGGUGACAGCCCCGUACACAAAAGCGCAUGUGCUGUGAGCUCGAUGAGUAGGGCGGGACACGUGGUAUCCUGUCUGAAUAUGGGGGGACCAUCCUCCAAGGCUAAAUACUCCUGACUGACCGAUAGUGAACCAGUACCGUGAGGGAAAGGCGAAAAGAACCCCGGCGAGGGGAGUGAAAAAGAACCUGAAACCGUGU
rnacentral:rRNA from 1 species